rnacentral:rRNA from 1 species
AAAUUGAAGAGUUUGAUCAUGGCUCAGAUUGAACGCUGGCGGCAGGCCUAACACAUGCAAGUCGAACGGUAACAGGAAGCAGCUUGCUGCUUUGCUGACGAGUGGCGGACGGGUGAGUAAUGUCUGGGAAACUGCCUGAUGGAGGGGGAUAACUACUGGAAACGGUAGCUAAUACCGCAUAAUGUCGCAAGACCAAAGAGGGGGACCUUCGGGCCUCUUGCCAUCGGAUGUGCCCAGAUGGGAUUAGCUAGUAGGUGGGGUAACGGCUCACCUAGGCGACGAUCCCUAGCUGGUCUGAGAGGAUGACCAGCCACACUGGAACUGAGACACGGUCCAGACUCCUACGGGAGGCAGCAGUGGGGAAUAUUGCACAAUGGGCGCAAGCCUGAUGCAGCCAUGCCGCGUGUAUGAAGAAGGCCUUCGGGUUGUAAAGUACUUUCAGCGGGGAGGAAGGGAGUAAAGUUAAUACCUUUGCUCAUUGACGUUACCC